rnacentral:rRNA from 1 species
UACGUAGGGGGCAAGCGUUGUCCGGAAUUAUUGGGCGUAAAGAGCGUGUAGGCGGUCCGGUAAGUCAGCUGUGAAAGUCAAGGGCUCAACCCUUGAAUGCCGGUUGGUACUGUCGGGCUAGAGUCCGGAAGAGGCGAGUGGAAUUCCCGGUGUAGCGGUGAAAUGCGCAGAUAUCGGGAGGAACACCAAUGGCGAAGGCAGCUCGCUGGGACGGUACUGACGCUGAGACGCGAAAGCGUGGGGAGCAAACAGG